rnacentral:rRNA from 1 species
UACGUAAGGGGCAAGCGUUGUCCGGAUUUAUUGGGCGUAAAGAGCGUGUAGGCGGCCAGACAGGUCCGUUGUGAAAACUCGAGGCUCAACCUCGAGAUGUCGAUGGAAACCGUCUGGCUAGAGUCCGGAAGAGGAGUGUGGAAUUCCUGGUGUAGCGGUGAAAUGCGCAGAUAUCAGGAAGAACACCCGUGGCGAAGGCGGUUCUCUGGGCCUGUUCUGACGCUCAGGCGCGAAAGCUAGGGGAGCGAACAGG